AACGUAGGAGGCGAGCGUUAUCCGGAUUUACUGGGCGUAAAGCGCACGCAGGUGGCCGUGUAAGUCGGACAUGAAAGCUCCUGGCUUAACUGGGAGAGGUGGUUCGAAACUGCAGGGCUUGAGGUUGGGAGAGGGACGUGGAAUUCCCGGUGUAGUGGUGGAAUGCGUAGAUAUCGGGAGGAACACCAGUGGCGCAAGCGGCGUCCUGGCCCACACCUGACGCUGAGGUGCGAAAGCGUGGGGAGCAAACAGG
rnacentral:rRNA from 1 species